AUAACUUCAACCUGUUUUAUUGUGGCUUUUACUUUUAAGAGCAUUCAUAAACCAGGCUUGGAUCUUGGGAGUUUUAUGCUGGCCUUAUUCAUUUUGGUCAGCUCUCCUUGAAUGCAUUAGCAGAAUCAUUGAAUGGUCAUCAAUUCUGGUAUGAUAACAAUUAUCUCUAUGCCAAUUGAGACUGGACGAAAAAACAGAUUCUGCUGUUUGUAAUGUGCUUGAUGA
rnacentral:misc_RNA from 1 species